CCUCCUUAAAAACACACAACCAGAUUUAUAUAAAAUUGUGAAUUGCACGCACCUGCCACGUAAUAUUACCUUUUUUUAAAAAAAAUUAUUCUGCAAUUAUUUUUCAUCUAUAUUUCCAUCUUUCUCUUUUACCUUCCUUUUUCCAUUCCUCUUUUUAUUUGAUUUACUUUCCUUUUCCAUUCCUCUUUUUCUUUGAUCUUGACAAUUGAUUUUCUAAAUUUGGGGAUACAUUCUAUGACUGUCACCAUCUUCUUCGAGCUUCACCGGAGUUAUGAACACUAGCAAAAUUUUGAUGCUCUCUAUUGAAGCUAGAAUUUAACAAUGUUGAGCAACCCAUUUCGAUUAUUG
rnacentral:lncRNA from 1 species